rnacentral:rRNA from 1 species
UUGACGGGGCCCGCACAAGCGGCGGAGCAUGCGGAUUAAUCGAUGCAACGCGAAGAACCUUACCAAGGCUUGACAUACACCGGUAACGCCCAGAGAUGGGUGCCCCUUUGUGGUCGGUGUACAGGUGGUGCAUGGGUUGUCGUCAGCUCGUGUCGUGAGAUGUUGGGUUAAGUCCCGCAACGAGCGCAACCCUCGUCCUAUGUUGCCAGCGGGUCAUGCCGGGGACUCAUGGGAGACUGCCGGGGUCAACUCGGAGGAAGGUGGGGAUGACGUCAAAUCAUCAUGCCCCUUAUGUCUUGGGCUUCACGCAUGCUACAAUGGCCGGUACAAAGGGCUGCGAUACCGCGAGGUGGAGCGAAUCCCAGAAAGCCGGUCUCAGUUCGGAUUGGGGUCUGCAACUCGACCCCAUGAAGUCGGAGUCGCUAGUAAUCGCAGAUCAGCAACGCUGCGGUGAAUACGUUCCCGGGCCUU